rnacentral:rRNA from 1 species
GCGGCAGGCCUAACACAUGCAAGUCGAACGGCAGCACAGCAGUAGCAAUACUGUGGGUGGCGAGUGGCGGACGGGUGAGGAAUACAUCGGGAUCUACCUUUUCGUGGGGGAUAACGUAGGGAAACUUACGCUAAUACCGCAUACGCCCUACGGGGGAAAGCGGCGGACCGCAAGGCGUCGCGCGAUGAGAUGAACCGAUGUCCGAUUAGCUAGUUGGCGGGGUAAAGGCCCACCAAGGCGACGAUCGGUAGCUGAUCUGAGAGGAUGAUCAGCCACACUGGAACUGAGACACGGUCCAGACUCCUACGGGAGGCAGCAGUGGGGAAUAUUGGACAAUGGGCGCAAGCCUGAUCCAGCCAUGCCGCGUGGGUGAAGAAGGCCUUCGGGUUGUAAAGCCCUUUUGUCCGGAAAGAAAAGCACGGGAUUAAUACCCUCGUGUGAUGACGGUACCGGAAGAAUAAGCACCGGCUAACUUCGUGCCAGCAGCCGCGGUAAUACGAAGGGUGCAAGCGUUACUCGGAAUUACUGGGCGUAAAGCGUGCGUAGGUGGUUUGUUAAGUCUGUCGUGAAAUCCCCGGGCUCAACCUGGGAAUGGCGAUGGAUACUGGCAAGCUAUAGUGAGGUAAAAGAGAGUGGAAUUCCCGGUGUAGCAGUGAAAUGCGUAAAGAUCGGGAGGAACAUCAGUUGCGAAGGCGGCUCUCUGGACCAUCACUUGACACUGAGGCACGAAAGCGUGGGGAGCAAACAGGAUUAAAUACCCUGGUUAUUCNCCCCCCUAACGAUGCGA